CUCAAGUUUCCAUUUGGGGUUUGUUCCCAGGAUAUUUUCAGUUGAAGCAAUCCUCAUCAACGGUAGGGAGGAAGACAUACCAAGCAAGGAGUGCCUCUCACUGCUCCAUCAUUAGAACCACUGCUAUGGAGAUGAGUGGAUAGGAAUCUUCCAAUUUCUAUUCUUUGUUUUCUUUGAUUCUUCAAGAUACAUUCUGCAUAUAGAAUUUUCCCCAAUGGUUUUUCCUUUCUAGAGAAAGAUUUGUCACCUGCUGAACCUCCCUUGAGCUGCUCAGAGAUCUAGGAGCUUUCCUGAACUGCCAGUAAUAGUGACUGUGAGCCUAAGUCCAUUGCUCCUGGUUCUAUGAUGUGUAUGAUAAGGGGUUCUUUUUUCUCCUCUGAAUGUCAAGCCUCGGAAAGGAUGAAGUACCCUGCUGAAUCUCAAGGUGGACUCAAAGGUGUCAAGUCUUAUGAUGGAGAGGUGGGGGUCUGGAGGACAAGGACUGACUUUCGUGAUGAAUCGGAAUGGAAACUGAAGUGUCGAGGUCCAGAGUAGAGCUAGCAUCUAGCUGUUUCCUAAACUAAGAUGAAGAAGGCUGCUCUCACACUGAACUUCAUCUUUCUUAGCUACCCAAUUCUCCAAUGAGGCACAUCCCAAUUUCAAUUCCACGUAAGUAGUUCUUUCUAAUUACCAUUUCCAGAAGACCUUAAAAUACCUAUUGUUAAAUCACAAAUAGCACCUUUGGGGUUUCACAAGAAGAAGAAUGAAAGUAUCAUAAUUAUUCAAAGUCUUUGCUAUACUCUGAAAAGACAAUUUAGGACCACACCAUAUUUGUUGUUAUUCCCCAAGGAUGUUUUGACUCUCUUUUUAAAAUUUUCUUCAAUUAUUCAUCCUUUCAUUUAUUUGCGAGUUCUUUGUUUAGGUUCAGGGUGUCUAGAAAGCAACAUAGAAAAAACAUCUUGUAAUGUGAGUAAUUGGAGGGCUUUACUUUGGUUUUCUCAUCCUGAGCAUAUCUAAUUUAUCAUUCUGCACCCUAAGUAUUGAAGGUUGCUGUGUGAUUUUGGGCAAGUCACUUAAUUUCCCUGUACCUCAGUCUCCUCAACUGUAAAAUGGGGAUUAACUCCCUCCUACUUAUACUAUGUGUCUAAGUAGAUUGGGUCCAACCUGUUAACUUGCAUCUACUCCAGCGGUUAGAGUAGUAUUUGACACAUACUAAGAGCUUAACAAAUACCAUUUAAAAAAAACAAUUUAGCUCC
rnacentral:lncRNA from 1 species